rnacentral:antisense_RNA from 1 species
ACCAAGUUCGUCGACGUGCGGUGCAGGAAGUCCUUCCGGACGUUGCGAUGGGCCCGGGCCACCUUCUCCUUCGCCUUGUGCCGAUUGUUCGAGCCGCGCUGCUCGCGCGCCAUGCGGCGCUGGUACCGGGUCAGGUCGCGGGCCUUGCGGUCCAGAUGCCGCGGAUUGGCGAUGCGUUCGCCGUCCGAGGUGACGGCGAAAUCCCUCACGCCCAGAUCGGUGCCUGCAGCACGCCCGGCCUCCGGCUCGAGUUCGGGCUCGUCGGUAUCGACACUGAAGGUGACGAACCAGCGCCCGUCCGGCCCGCGAGCAACCACCAUCGUGGGGUUCAGUGCGGUCACGUCAACGUCGGGCCCGGACCACACGAAGCACCGGGCUCACCUGCUUCGCCAGGAACAGCUUCCCGUCGCGGAUCCGAAAUGCCGACCGGGUGUAGCGCGCCGUCUGACGACCGCUCCUGCUCUUGUACCGGGGAUAGCGGGCCCGAGCGGCGAAAAAUGCUGAAACGCGGGGUGCUGGUGCCGCAAAGUCUGCUGCAACGGCACCGACGGCACCUCGGACAGAAACGCCAGCUCGCCGG